GACGAACGCUGGCGGCGUGCUUAACACAUGCAAGUCGAACGCUGAAGCCCUUCGGGGUGGAUGAGUGGCGAACGGGUGAGUAACACGUGGGUAAUCUGCCCUGCACUCUGGGAUAAGCCUUGGAAACGGGGUCUAAUACCGGAUAGGACACAUCGCCGCAUGGUGUGUGUGUGGAGAGUUCCGGCGGUGCAGGUUGAGCCCGCGGCCUAUCAGCUUGUUGGUGGGGUGAUGGCCUACCAAGGCGACGACGGGUAGCCGGCCUGAGAGGGUGACCGGCCACACUGGGACUGAGACACGGCCCAGACUCCUACGGGAGGAAGCAGUGGGGAAUCUUGCGCAAUGGGCGAAAGCCUGACGCAGCAACGCCGCGUGGGGGAUGACGGCCUUCGGGUUGUAAACCUCUUUCGACCGGGACGAAGGAUUCGUUUGACGGUACCGGUAGAAGAAGCACCGGCUAACUACGUGCCAGCCGCCGCGGUAAGAC
rnacentral:rRNA from 1 species